UAGGCAAGGUCAAAAUUCGUUCGUUGAAUUUUGGUGAAGAAGCCAUUAUCAAUGAAAUUGAAAGCGAUGUGAUUUUCUUCGACAUUUCCACCGGCUGCUGGUUCAGUUCAUUAAAAGUUCCGUUUAUUCAAAACUAUUUGAAAUAUGCAACAAAGGACAAAUACUCUGCAGCAAGGGAACGCAUCUCGCAAGAAGCCGCAAGUCUCUCAUCAAUUUUCAUUCAAUUGCUUCAAGUUUUGUCAACGCCACAAACGAAGAUAAUGUUUACGAAGCUGAAAGCCACAUGUUGUAUGUACUUUGCUCAUUAUUACUUAUUUACUAGGAGUUACUAUCGCAAGGGAAGUGCUGCCCCUCCACCAAGUAAGGUAAAACAGUUUGGAAACUGCUAUUGCGUGUUUUCCAUCAUGUAUCAUCUGCCAUAAACAAUACAAUAAUGAAUGGUAAAAAUAAAAAUACAGCAAGAAACCGCAACAACUCGUAUACUUUGUCAUUGCAUAAAGACAAGCUAAUUGUGUCAUCUUUUAUUUUCAAA